UCAACCUGAGAGUUUGAUCCUGGCUCAGAGCGAACGCUGGCGGCAGGCCUAACACAUGCAAGUCGAACGAA
rnacentral:rRNA from 1 species